rnacentral:lncRNA from 1 species
UCAUCCUAAAAAAAAAGAAAGUGCAUGGUCGAAAUUUUAUCAAUCUGUACAAAAUAUAUCAAAGAACCAGUGGAAUUCACUACUAAAGUGAGUGCACUAGUAUGAAAUAAUUGUCUUAACUAUUUUUAAUCCAAUGCUUUUGUUAACUGAACAUGUUAUAUUUAUAUAUCAUAUGUAAAUAUGUUUUCACAAUAGUGGCAAUUUGAAAAUGUCUUUUAUUGGUCUCCCUAUCAGAAUAAAAAGGAGUAACAGUGAUUUCAUUUGCAUCAUAAAUUAAAACUAAGAUAACUUCAUGAUUAACUGUUCAUUUAAAGGGACAUUUUUCACCGAUCACACUAAAAAAGUGUUUGCUACUGACAAUAUAAAUAAGAAUACAUUGGAUUUUGAAGCAGUAAAUUGAUUGUAUAAUACUUAACUACAAGUACAAGAAUAAACAAUAAAUUGUGUCAAAAACGGACCAUAUGAAAUAAUAAAAUAAUGACAUCUAUAAAUAAUGACAAAUUAACAUAAAACUUUUCAGACACAGACCUGCCAAGAUAACUUAAUCAUUCAGGGAUGUGAAAAUAUCAAACUUCUACACUUGUAAAAGGGGCUACCAGGUAGCCCUUAAACAAAAAUCUACUGGCCUGGAAAGUUUUGACUUGUCCCUACUGAUAUUGGGGUACAAACUGAGCAUGAUAUUUCCACAUCACUGUCAGGGCACAAUUUGUUCGACUAGCACUAGCAGUGCAAUUUACUUGUAAUGUUUAUAGUAAAUGUUAGGGUAAUAAUAAAUAGAUUUGAUCAAAUAUAAGAUGACUGUCAAUCUUUAAAAAAAACAAACUAAUAAAUAGGGGGAAGGACUCUAUACUGCUAGCUUACAAACAACACAGAUUCUAUGAUACUACUUGUAUGUUUAUCAUAUCAUAAUGAUGUUUCCAUCCAAAGUAAAUGUUUACACAAAAAGAAUCGAGUGGUUUUGAUAUUUUCACCAUAAAGGAACAAAGGCAGAUAUUAUAGCAUCCAAGUGGAUUUAAAUUUGGGCCAUCUAAAUACAUAUUGCACAUGUACAAUCAUUUCGUUCUGCAUUAGAAAAAGAUUUAAAUAAGUAUUUACUGUUAUUGAACUGAAACUUACAAAUUUAAAUAACAAAAUGCAGACAGAAUGUAUUGGUUAUUAGCUUUUACUGGCAAUAAACCAACAAAGACAUUGACCUGGCAUAAGUAAUCUUUUUUACUAACAAAAAUUAUUGUCUGGAACAAAUCAAUCAAAAUUGAAAAAAAUACUUUUAUCCCUGCAAUAUCAUAUGGUUCAUCCAAAAAAGUGUAUUUACCUUACCCUCCGUCUAAAAAUAUUAUGCACUAAAACACAUGGUUUAAAUUCUGCAGAGAUCAAUCCUGAUUUUUUUUUAAUGAAACACAAUGGAAAACAGAUGGAUAGAUGCUCUCAGAUCUAGUUUAAAUGCUGAAGCUAAUUAAAAUAAUUUAAUAACAAGAAUAAGGUCACAUUAAAAAUAUAUAUAUAAUCUCCCCUCACUUUUUUUUCAUUUGCAUCUCAUUUAUUCAUGAAAGAGCUCAACUUAAAGAUGGAUAGAAUAUCACAAUUGUGCUUUUAACAAUUCGGAUGCCUGAAAACUUGUUGCGGUUAUGUGGCGUAUGGACAAGUGAAAAAUUAAUACUGUGAAAUCACAGACUAGCAUUGGAAUCCAAUAUUCAGGACAGCUAAAAGAUAUUUCUUCUUUACAGAAAAAAAACCAUCUAGUUUAGGAUAGCUAAAUACAAAAAUAAAAUUAUGAAACCAUAAAGCAGCAUAUAUGUUGACAAGCAAAUACUAAUUAUUAGCUGGUGUGCAAGGACAAACAAAAACAUAAUAAGGGCACUUUGUAUUUAUACAAAUCUCUUAAAACAUUUUUUUAAAAAUUAAUUAAAAAAAAUAGACAAUGUUAUAUACAUCAAAUGUAAAAAAUAAUUGGUCUGUAAAUGGAGUGCUUCAUUCCUACUUCCAUCCCUUCUACUUCCACUUCCCUACUACUCCGGGUUAUUCCAUUUUUUAACUCCCUCUCUCUCUUUUCCUGACUCACUCCCCCUCAAAACUUUUUUUUACAAAUACAUAUUUCUAAUGGAUCUUUAAAGCCAUAAUACUUUAGACAAAAUUACUAUGGAUUCAUUUAUUUUUUAUGGAUACCAGUUUUCAUGGAUAUAAAAACUGGUACAUGUACAUGUAUUUCUGUGAAUUUUGUGGUUUUUCCAAGUCUGCAUACACCAAUAAAGAAAAUGUCUAAAAAAAAUAAAAUUCUUCAUCUUUUCCCCAAAAAUCAAUGAAAUAUGAUAUUCCGAGAAUAAUAAUGAAACCACAGUACCAAGUUUCUAAUUCAGGCAUGGCAUAUAAAUUCACAUUAUGCAUGUUAUUGUGAAUCAAUGAAAACUUAAUAUGUUUCCUUUGCAUAGUCACUAACUGAUAAAACAAUCUUACAUUAGAAUCUAUAUAACAUUGUAAAAAAUAAAGGUCCUUCUUAAAAUAUUAAAGGUUAAAUAACCUGUACAAGUUCAAUACAUGUUAAAUACAUUUUCCUGCCAAUUCUUGUCAGAAAUACUCAAAUAAAAAUGUUUCCCCCGUCAUGCCUUUCUUACUGGAUUAUAGUUCCUGGAGACUUAAAAUAUAUGUACUGCCAUUUUAUUUGUUAUUGACAUUGUAAUCUAUUAUUUCUUCAAAUUACCUUCUAUACAAUAAUGACAAAAAGCAAUGGUGAAAAUUCAUGAUUACAAGAUGAUGAAUAUAACUUCUUCUAAUCGGCAUGUGUCUUUCCAUUUGGUGUUUGGACAUCUUUUAUAUGUUUCUCCUCAUAGUCAGUUUUCAUUCUUCUACGGAUUCGAGAAAAUGGUCCUAUGGAAGGAUCAGUUAUAAAGUUGAAGAUCACUCUACACCAAGAUGAAUGCUGGGGUAAAUUAUCAUAAUACUCUGGGGCAAUUUCUUUCACCU